AGCGGCCCGAGGCCUGGCCACGUCCGCACCCGGGGGAGGGGCCGCGGCGGCCCAGGCCGGGGCCCGGUGCCGCCUGCUCGAGCCGGGGAGCCCUCGGGGCUGCGGUUGCAGGAACCUUCCCUCUACACCAUCAAGGCUGUUUUCAUCCUAGAUAAUGACGGGCGCCGGCUGCUGGCCAAGUGUGAUUCUGGAGAGUGACCCCCAGCAAGUGAUCCAGAAGGUGAAUUUUAGGGUUCUUCAGUCUGCCAAGGAACAAAUUAAAUGGUCGUUAUUGAAAUGAAGGCUGUGGAUUCAAGGCUCCCUGCCCCCCAGACCAUUUCCCCAAUCCUGGCAAAAGCCCAAAGAUCCCAGGGUCAAGAGAGACCCCUUUGCAUCCCCAGGUCCUCCCGGAACGGACUCCUAAGGUCUCCAGCCAGGGAUUCUGAGAUGCAAAGGUUUGGCCUCAGGAGAGUCACCUCUUCUCACGGCCCUGGCCUUAACUCAUAUCUUAGGCAUUCCUGGCCCCAGGGCCCUAAUAAACCUGCU
rnacentral:sRNA from 1 species